CCUGUUUAACAAAAACAUGUCUUUUUGAGUUAUUUUAAAAGUCUGACCUGCCCACUGAAAUUAUUUAAAUGGCCGCAGUAUUCUAACUGUGCAAAGGUAGCAUAAUCAUUAGUCUUUUAAUUGAAGGCUGGUAUGAACGGUUGGACGAGGUAUAAGCUGUUUCAUAUAAAUUUAUAAUAGAAUUUUAUAUUUUAGUCAAAAAGCUAAAAUUUAAUUAAAAGACGAGAAGACCCUAUAAAUCUUUAUAUUCUAAGUUGUUUAAAUUUUUUAGAUUAAUUUUAUUUUUAUAAUUUAGAGUAUUUUGUUGGGGUGAUAUUAAAAUUUAAUGAACUUUUAGUUGUUAAAAAUCAUUAAUUUAUGAGUUAUUGAUCCAUUAAUAGUGAUUAUAAGAUUAAGUUACUUUAGGGAUAACAGCGUAAUUUUUUUGGAGAGUUCAUAUCGAUAAAAAAGUUUGCGACCUCGAUGUUGGAUUAAGAAUA
rnacentral:rRNA from 1 species